rnacentral:rRNA from 1 species
GUACUUGGUGUUACUGCGAAGGGGGGACGGAGAAGGCUAUGUUGGCCGGGCGACGGUUGUCCCGGUUUAAGCGUGUAGGUGUGUGUUCCAGGUAAAUCCGGUUCACUUUAACACUGAGGCGUGACGACGAGGCACUACGGUGCUGAAGCAACAAAUGCCCUGCUUCCAGGAAAAGCCUCUAAGCAUCAGGUAACAUCAAAUCGUACCCCAAACCGACACAGGUGGUCAGGUAGAGAAUACCAAGGCGCUUGAGAGAACUCGGGUGAAGGAACUAGGCAAAAUGGUGCCGUAACUUCGGGAGAAGGCACGCUGACACGUAGGUGAAGUGAUUUACUCAUGGAGCUGAAGUCAGUCGAAGAUACCAGCUGGCUGCAACUGUUUAUUAAAAACACAGCACUGUGCAAACACGAAAGUGGACGUAUACGGUGUGACGCCUGCCCGGUGCCGGAAGGUUAAUUGAUGGGGUCAGCGCAAGCGAAGCUCCUGAUCGAAGCCCCGGUAAACGGCGGCCGUAACUAUAACGGUCCUAAGGUAGCGAAAUUCCUUGUCGGGUAAGUUCCGACCUGCACGAAUGGCGUAAUGAUGGCCAGGCUGUCUCCACCCGAGACUCAGUGAAAUUGAACUCGCUGUGAAGAUGCAGUGUACCCGCGGCAAGACGGAAAGACCCCGUGAACCUUUACUAUAGCUUGACACUGAACAUUGAGCCUUGAUGUGUAGGAUAGGUGGGAGGCUUUGAAGUGUGGACGCCAGUCUGCAUGGAGCCGACCUUGAAAUACCACCCUUUAAUGUUUGAUGUUCUAACGUGGACCCGUGAUCCGGGUUGCGGACAGUGUCUGGUGGGUAGUUUGACUGGGGCGGUCUCCUCCUAAAGAGUAACGGAGGAGCACGAAGGUUGGCUAAUCCUGGUCGGACAUCAGGAGGUUAGUGCAAUGGCAUAAGCCAGCUUGACUGCGAGCGUGACGGCGCGAGCAGGUGCGAAAGCAGGUCAUAGUGAUCCGGUGGUUCUGAAUGGAAGGGCCAUCGCUCAACGGAUAAAAGGUACUCCGGGGAUAACAGGCUGAUACCGCCCAAGAGUUCAUAUCGACGGCGGUGUUUGGCACCUCGAUGUCGGCUCAUCACAUCCUGGGGCUGAAGUAGGUCCCAAGGGUAUGGCUGUUCGCCAUUUAAAGUGGUACGCGAGCUGGGUUUAGAACGUCGUGAGACAGUUCGGUCCCUAUCUGCCGUGGGCGCUGGAGAACUGAGGGGGGCUGCUCCUAGUACGAGAGGACCGGAGUGGACGCAUCACUGGUGUUCGGGUUGUCAUGCCAAUGGCACUGCCCGGUAGCUAAAUGCGGAAGAGAUAAGUGCUGAAAGCAUCUAAGCACGAAACUUGCCCCGAGAUGAGUUCUCCCUGAGACUUA